UCAAGCUACUAAGGGCAUACGGUGGAUGCCUAGGCGCCAAGAGCCGAAGAAGGACGCGGUAAGCUGCGAAAAGCCACGGGGAACUGCAAGCAAGUAUUGAUCCGUGGAUAUCCGAAUGGGGAAACCCGGCCAUCGUCAUGGAUGGUCACCCGCAAGGGAGGGAACCUGGGGAACUGAAACAUCUAAGUACCCGGAGGAAGAGAAAUCAAACGAGAUGCCCACAGUAGCGGCGAGCGAAGAGGGCAGAGCCCAAACCGAGAAGCUCCGGCUUUUCGGGGUUGAGGACCGGCAGAAUCGAAGUCAGGCCUAGUCGAAUUACCUGGAAAGGUAAGCGAGAGAGGGUAAAAGCCCCGUAGACGAAAGGCAGAGCAGAGAGGCCGAGAUCCAGAGUACCACGAAGCACGAGGAAUUUUGUGGGAAGCAGGGGGGACCACCCUCCAAGGCUAAAAACUACUUGGCGACCGAUAGCGCAUAGUACCGUGAGGGAAAGGUGAAAAGAACCCCGGGAGGGGAGUGAAAUAGUACCUGAAACCGUAUGUCUACAAGCAGUCGAAGCGAAAGCGACGGCGUGCCUAUUGAAGAAUGAACCAACGAGUUAUCUGCACUAGCGAGGUUAAGUGGAAGACACGGAGCCGCAGCGAAAGCGAGUCUUAAGAGGGCGCUAGUUAGUGUAGGUAGACCCGAAACCGCAGUGAUCUACCCAUGUCCAGGUUGAAGCGCAGGUAAAAUUGCGUGGAGGACCGAACCGGUGAGCGUUGAAAAGCUUUCGGAUGAGAUGUGGGUAGGGGUGAAAUUCCAAUCGAACGCGGAGAUAGCUGGUUCUCCCCGAAAUAGCUUUAGGGCUAGCCUGAGGUAGUAAGUAUAGGCGGUAGAGCACUGAUCGGGCUAGGGGCCGUAAAGGUUACCGAACCCUGUCAAACUCCGAAUGGAUAUACUGUAGAGCCUUGGAGUCAGACUACGAGUGAUAAGAUCCGUGGUCAAAAGGGAAACAGCCCAGACCACCAGCUAAGGUCCCCAAUGUCGUACUAAGUGGAAAAGGAUGUGGGGUUUCAUAAACAACCAGGAUGUUGGCUCAGAAGCAGCCACCAUUUAAAGAGUGCGUAAUAGCUCACUGGUCGAGAGACCCUGCGCCGAAGAUUCCCGGGGCUAAAGUACGAAACCGAAGCUGUGGCUGUAUACGUAAAGUAUACGGGGUAGGGGAGCGUUCCCAUAGGGUAGAAGUCGAACUGGAAGGUUCGGUGGACUUGUGGGAAGUGAGAAUGUUGGUAUGAGUAGCGAAAAGAAAGGUGAGAAUCCUUUCCACCGAAAGCAUAAGGAUUCCUGAGCAACGAUCGUCGUCUCAGGGUAAGUCGGGACCUAAUCCGAGGCAGAGAGCGUAGGAGAUGGACAACUGGUUGAUAUUCCAGUACCGGUAGUAAUUGUUUGAGCAAUGGAGUGACACAGAAGGGCAGGCAAGCAUGCGAAUGGAAGAGCAUGUGUAAGCGUGUAGGGUGGUGCAUAGGCAAAUCCGUGCACUGAAAGCCUGAGGCGUGAUGCGGAGUGAGCAGAGAUGCGAGCGAAGUUGUUGACCCCACACUGUCGAGAAAAGCUUCUAGUGAGAGAGCUACCGCCCGUACCGUAAACCGACACAGGUAUGCGGGGAGAGAAUCCUAAGGUGCGCGGGAGAACCCUCGUUAAGGAACUCGGCAAAAUGUACCCGUAACUUCGGGAUAAGGGUAGCCACUGUUGUGAAGUCCCAUGCGGAUGGAGCAUAGAGUGGUCGCAGAGAAGAGGCCCAAGCGACUGUUUACCAUAAACACAGGUGCCUGCUAAAGCGAAAGCUGACGUAUAGGUGCUGACACCUGCCCAGUGCCGGAAGGUUAAGGAAGGAUGUUCGGAGUAAUCCAAAGCAUUCGACUGAAGCCCCGGUGAACGGCGGCCGUAACUAUAACGGUCCUAAGGUAGCGAAAUUCCUUGUCGGGUAAG
rnacentral:rRNA from 2 species